GGGCCCGCACAAGCGGUGGAGCAUGUGGUUUAAUUCGAUGCAACGCGAAAAACCUUACCAGGCCUUGACAUCCUGAGAACUUUCUAGAGAUAGAUUGGUGCCUUCGGGAACUCAGUGACAGGUGUUGCAUGGCUGUCGUCAGCUCGUGUCGUGAGAUGUUGGGUUAAGUCCCGUAACGAGCGCAACCCUUAUCCUUAUUUGCCAGCACGUAAUGGUGGGAACUCUAAGGAGACUGCCGGUGACAAACCGGAGGAAGGAGAGGAUGAUGUCAAGUCAUCACGGCCCUUACGUCCUGGGCCACACACGUGCUACAAUGGUCGGUACAGAGGGCAGCUACCGGGUGACCGGAUGCGAAUCUCUAAAGCCGAUCUCAGUUCGGAUUGGAGUCUGCAACUCGACUCUAUGAAGCUGGAAUC
rnacentral:rRNA from 1 species